CGCUGGCGGCGUGCCUAAUACAUGCAAGUCGAGCGGAAUGAUGAAGAAGCUUGCUUCUUCUGAUUUUAGCGGCGGACGGGUGAGUAACACGUGGGCAACCUACCUUGUAGAUUGGGAUAACUCCGGGAAACCGGGGCUAAUACCGAAUAAUCCAUUUUGCUUCAUGGCGAGAUGUUGAAAGACGGUUUCGGCUGUCACUAUAAGAUGGGCCCGCGGCGCAUUAGCUAGUUGGUAGGGUAAUGGCCUACCAAGGCGACGAUGCGUAGCCGACCUGAGAGGGUGAUCGGCCACACUGGGACUGAGACACGGCCCAGACUCCUACGGGAGGGCAGCAGUAGGGAAUCUUCCACAAUGGACGAAAGUCUGAUGGAGCAACGCCGCGUGAGUGAAGAAGGUUUUCGGAUCGUAAAACUCUGUUGUAAGGGAAGAACACGUACGAGAGUAACUGCUCGUACCUUGACGGUACCUUAUUAGAAAGCCACGGCUAACUACGUG
rnacentral:rRNA from 1 species